UGAUUUCCUAUUUGACUGAGCGGCGGACGGGUGAGUAACGCGUGGGUAACCUGCCUUGUACAGGGGGAUAACAGUUGGAAACGGCUGCUAAUACCGCAUACGCGCACGGCAUCGCAUGAUACAGUGAUCAAAGGAGCAAUCCGCUGAAAGAUGGGCUCGCGUCCGAUUAGAUAGUUGGUGAGGUAACGGCUCACCAAGUCGACGAUCGGUAGCCGGACUGAGAGGUUGAACGGCCACAUUGGGACUGAGACACGGCCCAGACUCC
rnacentral:rRNA from 1 species